UGCGCCACUGCACUCCAGCCUGGGCGACAGAGCGAGACUCUGUCUCAAAAGAAAAAAAAAAAAAGUACAAGAAAUUCAUAGCUUAAUUAUGAAUCAAAACUUGGCUAUGGUAUGCACAGUGUUUGAAAAGUGGACACUUCAGAACAAUUGGCUUUGGCAAAACAACAACAACAAAAAACCAGUUGACAUUUUCAGGAACUCACAUAACUUCUUUUAGUAUAACACAUAUCCAGUACCAUUAUGGCCUCAGGCUUUUCACUACACUUUUGUUUUCUUUUUGAUAAUCAGAUGAUCACAGUUUUGCCUUUUUUUCCUUUCUUUUCUUUUUAGAGACAAUGUCACUGCAGCCUUGAACACCUGGGCUCAAGGGAUCCUUCCAUCUCGGCUUCCCAAGUAGCUGGGACUACAGUCUUGCUCUGUCACCCAGGCUGGAGUGCAAUGGCGCGAUCUCGGCUCACCGCAACCUUCGCCUCCCAGGUUCAAGCAAUUCUCCUGCCUCAGCCUCCCGAAUAGCUGGGAUUACAGGCUCCUGCCACCAUGGCUGGCUGAUUUUUUUGUAUUUUUAGUAGAGGUGGGGUUUCACCAUGUUGGCCAGGCUGGUCUCGAAAUCCUGACCUCAGGUGAUCCACCUGUCUCGGCCUCCCAAAGUGCUGGGAUUACAGACGUGAGCCACCACGCUCAGCCACACAUGGGUUUUUAUAAAUAAGCAGAUUUCUUUUUCACAGUGCAUGCAAUGGAGAAAAGCAGAUAACUCUAUCUCCAUCAGCUUGUCCCCAAAGUCCAAGCCCCUCUCCUUGUCACCCAGCACACCCUCAUCUCAAGUGCUCAGCCUUUCUUGUCCUGACCCAGCUCCUACCUUCCCCACAUCCCACUUCCUCCACCAUGCUGCCCUGACGUAACCAGCAAACGUCCUAUAUCCUCGCCCCUUCUGAAGAGGACACACCCUAAGAGGCCACCAUGAUCCCUGGCUCCUGGUGCUCACACCUCUGUGUAAUGCCCUCUCCUUGAGUACAUGUGCACCUGUCACUUGCUUCUAAUGAACAGAAUAUGCAGCGGGGUUGGAUGUCACACUGUGAUGGAGUGAUAUUAUAUGAGACUGUCUUGCUAACAGACUUGUUCUGGAGACUUUUUGCUGGCUCAAUGAAAUGAGCAGCACAUUGGAAAGGCUCACGUGGCUAAGAGCUGAGGGCAGCUUCCAGCAGACAGCCAGUGAGGAAUCAGGAAACGAAUUCUGCUGCAUCCCGAGUGAGCUGGAAGCAGAUUCUUCUAGUGGAGCUUCCAGAUGGCACUGUGGCCAACACCCUGACUAUAGCCUCCUGCGAUCCUGAGCAGACAGCCCAGCUAAGCCAUGCUGAGACUGACUCACAGACCCUGUGAGAUACUAAGUUUGUGUUGUUUUAAGCCUCUGAAUCUGUAGUAAUUUGUUCUGCAGCCAUAGAUAAAUAAAAUCAUACCCCAGCA